ACUCAAAGGAAUAGACGGGGGCCCGCACAAGCGGUGGAGCAUGUGGUUUAAUUCGAUGCAACGCGAAGAACCUUACCUACUCUUGACAUCCUGCGAAGCGAGCGUAAUGGCUUGUGUGCCGAAAGGAGCGCAGAGACAGGUGCUGCAUGGCUGUCGUCAGCUCGUGUUGUGAGAUGUUGGGUUAAGUCCCGUAACGAGCGCAACCCUUGCCCUUAGUUGCAAACGAGUUAAGUUGAGCACUCUAAGGGGACUGCUGGUGAUGAACCGGAGGAAGGCGGGGACGACGUCAAGUCAUCAUGGCCUUUAUGAGUAGGGCUACACACGUGCUACAAUGGGGCGUACAGAGGGAAGCCAACCCGCGAGGGGGAGCCAAUCUCUUAAAGCGUCUCGUAGUCCAGAUUGGAGUCUGCAACUCGACUCCAUGAAGUUGGAAUCGCUAGUAAUCGCGGAUCAGCAUUGCCGCGGUGAAUACGUUCCCGGGCCUUGUACACACCGCCCGU
rnacentral:rRNA from 1 species